GUGUCAUGGUCAUUGCUGACCGUUCAUAGGAACCCUGCAGUUGCAAUGCAUUGGCUUGUGUAGGGUUCAUAUAACGGUCAACAGAGACCCUUGACAU
rfam:Medicago truncatula strain A17 chromosome 4, whole genome shotgun sequence.